AUACGUAGGGGGCUAGCGUUAUCCGGAAUUACUGGGCGUAAAGGGUGCGUAGGUGGUUUCUUAAGUCAGAAGUGAAAGGCCACGGCUCAACCGUAGUAAGCUUUUGAAACUAAGAGACUUGAGUGCAGGAGAGGAGAGUAGAAUUCCUAGUGUAGCGGUGAAAUGCGUAGAUAUUAGGAGGAAUACCAGUUGCGAAGGCGGCUCUGUGGACUGUAACUGUCACUGAGGCACACAAGCGUGGGGAGAAAACAGGAUUAGAUGCCCUGGUUGUCCACGCCGUAAACGAUGAGUACUAGCUGUCGGGGGUUACCCCCCUCGGUGGCGCAGCUAACGCAUUAAGUACUCCGCCUGGGAAGUACGCUCGCAAGAGUGAAACUCAAAGGAAUUGACGGGG
rnacentral:rRNA from 1 species